AGCUUUAACUAUACGGACCCUUGUUGGCAAGGUGAUGUCUCUGCUUUUUACCUUGCCAACAAAGGUCCGUAUAAUUAAAGCU